AACGAACGCUGGCGGCAGGUCUUAGGCAUGCAAGUCGAACGGAUGUAGCAAUACAUCAGUGGCGCACGAGUGAGUAACGCGUGGGGAGCUGCCCUUCACUGGGGAAUAACGUUUGGAAACGAACGCUAAUACCGCAUACGCCCGCAAGGGGAAAGAUUUAUCGGUGAAGGAUGCGCCCGCGUUGGAUUAGCUUGUUGGUGGGGUAACGGCCCACCAAGGCGAUGAUCCAUAGCUGGUCUGAGAGGACGAUCAGCCACGCUGGAACUGAGACACGGUUCAGACUCCUACGGGAGGCAGCAGCUAAGAAUAUUGGACAAUGGGGGAAACCCUGAUCCAGCCAUGCCGCGUGAAUGAAGAAGGCCUUCGGGUUGUAAAGUUCUUUUAGUCGUGGAGAUGAUGACAGUAGCGACAGAAGAAGCUCCGGCUAACUUCGUGCCAGCCGCCGCCGUAA
rnacentral:rRNA from 1 species